AUUGAACGCUGGCGGCAGGCUUAACACAUGCAAGUCGAGCGGAGAUGAGGUGCUUGCACCUUAUCUUAGCGGCGGACGGGUGAGUAAUGCUUAGGAAUCUGCCUAUUAGUGGGGGACAACAUUCCGAAAGGAAUGCUAAUACCGCAUACGUCCUACGGGAGAAAGCAGGGGAUCUUCGGACCUUGCGCUAAUAGAUGAGCCUAAGUCGGAUUAGCUAGUUGGUGGGGUAAAGGCCUACCAAGGCGACGAUCUGUAGCGGGUCUGAGAGGAUGAUCCGCCACACUGGGACUGAGACACGGCCCAGACUCCUCCGGGAGGCAGCAGUGGGGAAUAUUGGGCAAUGGGGGGAACCCUGAUCCAGCCAUGCCGCGUGUGUGAAGAAGGCCUUAUGGUUGUAAAGCACUUUAAGCGAGGAGGAGGCUACUGAGACUAAUACUCUUGGAUAGUGGACGUUACUCGCAGAAUAAGCACCGGCUAACUCUGUGCCAGCCGCCGCAGUAA
rnacentral:rRNA from 1 species